GAUGAACGCUGGCGGCGUGCCUAAUACAUGCAAGUCGAGCGAACGGACGAGAAGCUUGCUUCUGUGAUGUUAGCGGCGGACGGGUGAGUAACACGUGGAUAACCUACCUAUAAGACUGGGAUAACUUCGGGAAACCGGAGCUAAUACCGGAUAAUAUUUUGAACCGCAUGGUUCAAAAGUGAAAGACGGUCUUGCUGUCACUUAUAGAUGGAUCCGCGCUGCAUUAGCUAGUUGGUAAGGUAACGGCUUACCAAGGCAACGAUGCAUAGCCGACCUGAGAGGGUGAUCGGCCACACUGGAACUGAGACACGGUCCAGACUCCUACGGGAGGCAGCAGUAGGGAAUCUUCCGCAAUGGGCGAAAGCCUGACGGAGCAACGCCGCGUGAGUGAUGAAGGUCUUCGGAUCGUAAAACUCUGUUACUAGGGAAGAACAUAUGUGUAAGUAACUGUGCACAUCUUGACGGUACCUAAUCAGAAAGCCACGGCUAACUACGUG
rnacentral:rRNA from 1 species